rnacentral:rRNA from 1 species
UACGUAGGUGGCAAGCGUUGUCCGGAAUUAUUGGGCGUAAAGCGCGCGCAGGUGGUUUCUUAAGUCUGAUGUGAAAGCCCACGGCUCAACCGUGGAGGGUCAGUGGAAACUGGGGAACUUGAGUGCAGAAGAGGAAAGUGGAAUUCCAAGUGUAGCGGUGAAAUGCGUAGAGAUUUGGAGGAACACCAGUGGCGAAGGCGACUUUCUGGUCUGUAACUGACACUGAGGCGCGAAAGCGUGGGGAGCAAACAGG